rnacentral:lncRNA from 1 species
AUCAAACAAGGCACCAAAGCUAACACUAUCGCAAUACAACAAACACAAACUCCAACCCGAAAAGCUGAAUUCAAAAUUCGAAAUUGUGGAGAGAAGAUGAGACAGAACCUCCAACACUGUUUCGAUUGGUACAACCGGCGACUCCACGACCAAGGAUCGGAAAAGACUCCGAGAAACACCUUUCGCACAAAGAUCUUCGAUUGUUGGAGCCACAGAGUCGAGGAAAAGAGAGACAAGGACAAAGAAAUCAACAUUGUUUUUUUUUUGUUUUUUUUGGUUAAUAUGUCCGAACCAAUCAAA